AACUGCGCUAAGUAAUGUGAAUUGCAGAAUUCAGUGAAUCAUCGAGUCUUUGAACGCACAUUGCGCCCCCUGGCAUUCCGGGGGGCAUGCCUGUCCGAGCGUCAUUGCUGCCCUUCAAGCCCGGCUUGUGUGUUGGGUCGUCGUCCCCCCCGGGGGACGGACCCGAAAGGCUGCGGCGGCACCGUGUCCGGUCCUCGAGCGUAUGGGGCUUUGUCACCCGCUCGAUUAGGACCGGCCGGACGCCCGCCGGCGUCAAACCCCAAUCUUUCUAAGGUUGACCUCGGAUCAGGUAGGGAUACCCGCUGAACUUAAGC
rnacentral:misc_RNA from 1 species